GGGCUCGUAGCUCAGUCUGGAUAGAGUGCCGGCCUCCUAAGCCGCUGGUCGCGGGUUCGAAUCCCGCCGGGCCCGCCA
rnacentral:tRNA from 1 species